CCAAACGUCCUCUUUUGCCCGGACAUGUCCGCUUUUCAAGUCCUGUCCAGGGCGUCCGGGGGGUGUUUAUAAAUUGAUGAUAAUGUCCGGUUUUCCGUAUUAUUUAGAACAUUAUUUCAUAUUAUUUAAUUAUUUAUUUGUCCAGUAAGACUUGAAAAGAUAGCUAUUAUUUGACAAGUUGAUUUUUCUAAUACAGAAGAGACAUUAUUUCUAUCAUUAUUUCAUUCCAGAGAUUUUACAUUUAUAUUUAUUUUUCUACAAUUGAAACUUGUAAAAAGAUUAUUAUUUUAGGCAUAAUAAAAGCAAGUUGAGUAACCUCUGAGAAGCCUAUCUAAAUUUCUGUCUUUGAGAGAUUUUGUAAUAUAACUGAAUUUUCUAUCCAUACAUAUAAACUUGAAAUAUAUUAAAAUUAUAAGGCAUCUUUGAGUAAACUGCAAGUAUCAUUUAAGUAGGCUAUCUCGUGGCCGGGGCGAGUGUCCUCUUUUUUGGAAAUCAAAAUAUGGUCACCCUAUUUUUAAAUAUCCCAUGGAGAGAGACUCUCACUGCAGCCUGUUCUAUUUUGUUGUGAAAAUGUGGGCGUGCAGCCUCGUUCUGUGGACGAUAAACCAGGUGCAGACUUCCAUCUGUGUCACCGCUGAUGAGGAAAUACAGCGAGUGCUGGACGGAGCAGUGAGUGACAACAACCCCGCCCACAUUUAAGAGGACUGUCUGAACAGACCGAGGGUCUAGGUACCAUGUCUGAAGGCUUACUGCUGGUUCCAAAGGGACUGGACUGAAAGGGUUUGGUGGAGACGGGGCUAAAGUGUCGUUGGGCAAGAUACUGAACCCCAAAUUGCUCCUGACGGCUGCUCCAUUGGUGCGUGGGUGCAAGCGAAUGGUUACUGAGCAGCAGUAGUGUGUGAAAGGGUGAAUGUGACAUGUAGUGUUAAAGCACUUUGAGUGGUCAGAAGAAUUGAACAGUGCUAAACAAGUACAGUCCAUUUACCAUUAAAACAAUGUUUUAAAAUUAUGACAGACCUCUGCCGAGCUCCACAGCAGUGUUUGCACCGUGGCGCCUGUUCAUCUAUAAAGCGUUAACAAACUUAACAUCAGGAAACAAAAGCUUUGUUUAAAAGUUUAUUAUCUCAAAUGUGCAAUGCACAAAAACAAAACUCAUAUUUAGGAUAACAAAAGAAAAACAGUAAGGAAACGCAGCCUCAUAGAGACUAUAAAAUGUCUUCAGACAAGUUCAAUAUGAGAAGCUUUUUUUCACAAUCAACUCUCUAACCUGUAAUACUCAAACAUAAAAACAAGAUUCGUCUACGGAUAUAAGGUCUCAUCAGCAGGGAAGUUCACCACCCUGAGAAUCUUUAGUCCUACAGCACACAUUACAAACUUUUCAGUCAUUGUUUUUCUCUCUCCUCCUCUGUUCAUUCCUUGGUUUUCUUGAGCUUAAAAUUCUUCAAUCAUUUACAUUAUGCCACAAAACAAAAACACAUACAUGCUUCAAACUGAACCAGACAAAAGCACAUCAGCCUGCAGCAGGAUGUGACCAUGACGACAUGAGCGCAAACAUAAAACAUGAUUUGAUCUUAUUUCUAUCUUUGUUGUUCCCCUAAGAAAAGUCUGUCUCAUACCUACCAUUGAUGGGUCAAAGGAGAAGUACUACAUUAUUAAUAAAAACAGUGUCUGUCUCUGGGCUUUCCCUUAUGUGUAAAAAUAAAGGUCAGAUGAAAGUAAAUAUAGCACUAAGCAGAAGUGUAAUUUAGUUCUUCCUUUUAAAAGAUCAUCAAGGUUCACUUCUCACUGCUGCGCACAGUGUCACAGUCUGGAGUUUUUUAACCUGUCACUUGAUGAUAUAGAAAUACAGAAUGAAAAUAUUGAGACUAAGUUGUCUCAUACCUGCUACAUGUCAGCGUACAGUGUUUCUCACCCAACUAGCUUCUUGUCCACAAGUAGAUCAAUAAAAUAAAACAAUUAAAAUCCAAAAUACCAACAUAGUAAAAGACAUACAAUCCAUAGUGGCUUAGGGCUUUUCUCGAUUCUCUCAGUCACUUUAACAGCAUUCACCUCAUUAAGAAACUCCUCCUUUAUCAGGACACAGUGACCUGAUGGUAACUCUGACCACUGUCCUCUUUCAUUCGUCUUACUCUUCAAUUCUGACAACAAGAUAAACAAACACAUCCCUGUUUACACAUACAGCUUCC